rnacentral:rRNA from 1 species
UACGAAGGGGGCUAGCGUUGCUCGGAAUCACUGGGCGUAAAGGGCGCGUAGGCGGCCUGUUAAGUCGAACGUGAAAUCCCCGGGCUCAACCCGGGAACUGCGUCCGAUACUGGCAGGCUUGAAUCCGGGAGAGGGAUGUGGAAUUCCAGGUGUAGCGGUGAAAUGCGUAGAUAUCUGGAGGAACACCGGUGGCGAAGGCGGCAUCCUGGACCGGUAUUGACGCUGAGGCGCGAAAGCCAGGGGAGCAAAGCGGGG